ensembl:lncRNA
CUGCUUCAUCAGCAAGACACAAGAACCAGCAAGGCAUGAAGACAAAGCCCCCUCUCUAAAUUUGUUAAAUGCGAAUUUGGUGUUUAUAUGCUUUGCCCUGAGAUGGACGACCCAGAGUGAAAGUUAAGCGACUAAGAAGGUGGACGGACAUAUCUCAUUACAAUCCCUUUAUGAGGCCGGGAGCAGGAAGUGCGCUGUCUUUCCUGUCGCCGGCGUCUAAAAGACAGCGCUUUUCAACGCUUCUCGACACUCUCCGCUUUCAGAGAGAGGGGGACAGGAGACAGAGCGACAAUGCGUGGCGUGAUUAGGAUGCAAGGGUUGUUGGCUCCCCUCUCGACUCAAGGCUAUGCGUUUCUCUCUACCCGGGGAUCAAUAUGAGAUUGUGAAAAACAAGACCUUGUUGUUUUGAAGAACUUUUGUCUCUCGUCCAGGCUUGUGGGGACCGUAGGCUUUAGCCUACUUCUUCUUUUUUUCCAGAGAUGUCCACUACCAGCAGACCCACCGUCGGGACUCCCCAGUUAACGACAGACGAGCUGACCGUCAUAGUGGCCUCAUUGUCCUGUCUGGUCUUCUUCCUGGUGAUCAUGGUGCUCCUGUGUAUGCUGUACCGCAGGGACCCCCUCUGCUGUAAGGUCCGAGAGUACCAGGGAUCACACACAGACCUGUCUACACCUCCCCAGUAUUACAGCAGCACACAAACACUGGUCGGCCCACGAUGCUCUCAAGAAUCCCUGAGCCAUGAGAAUACCUACAGACAGUCAGAUUCGCUGUUCCUGAUUGGCCUGCCCUCCAGCUACGGCCUGCCCUCUUUGGCUGUCCCUCGCCUGCCGUCCUAUGAGAGCGUCCGAAAGAAGGACCGGCAGCGUCAGAUCCACAUGAUGAUCGCCGACCGCUUCGGCCUCAACGGGCCCUACAUCCCUGAGGUGAUUGAUCAAUCCGUCAGCCAAUCAAUACGUCACAUGAUGAUCGCCGACCGCUCCGGCCUCAACGGACCCUACAUCCCUGAGCCUCCACCGUCCUAUGAAGAGAGCAUCCACCAGGCCGUGGAGAUCCCUUGUGCCGUGAUUGGUCCUUUACAUGGCUCCAGUGAUGUGAUUGGUUCCUCAGAGGUCUGCUGUAGCGUGAUUGGUCCUUCGGAGGCCCCCGGUGAUGUGAUUGGUCCUUCAGAGGCCCCCGGUGAUGUGAUUGGUCCUUCAGAGGUGUCCUGUGAUGUAAAUGGUCUGUCCAUUCCUCCCUGUGAUGUCACUGGUCCUGUGGAAGCUCCCCGUGACAGGAUUGACCAAUUGAACGCUCCCCUGCACGUGAUUGGUCCAUUGAACGCUCCGCCUGACAGGAUUGGUCCAUUGAACGCUCCCCUGCACGUGAUUGGUCCAUUGAACGCUCCCCUGCACGUGAUUGGUCCAGCAGGGGCCUCUUCACCAGCCACCAGCCCUCCCUAAAAUACACACGGACACAGACAUUUACCCUGUGUGAACAUACACACACACACACACACACACACACACACAGACACAGACACAGACACAGACACAGACACAGACACACAGACACAGACACAGACACACACACACACACACACACACACAGACUGAUGCACACACGCACACACACACACACAGACUGAUGCACACACGCACACACACACACACACACAGAGACUGAUGCACACACGCACACUUGCCAGAGAGAUUGUAAUUGAAUAGGGACAUCAGGUCUGUGAUUCUCCCUGUGCAGUGUCCAGCAGGAGAAGUGAGCCUUGUUGAUCGAGCCGCUCUGUGACCCGAGACAAGACCAAAGACCUGAGAGUGUGUGUGUGUGUGUGUGUGUGUGUGUGUGUGAGAGUGUGUGUGAGAGUGUGUGUGUGUGUGUGUGUGUGUGUGAGUGUGUGUGUGUGUGUGUGUGUGUGUUUAUGGGGUUUUAUGGGUCUUGAUUGCUCUUCUGUCAGGACCUCACACAUGGCCACGACACUUAAAAGAGCACAGAAGAGAUUUAAAGGACCACAGGCAGUCUAAAUCAAACCCAGAUCAUCUUACAGGACCACAGGCAGUCUAAAUCAAACCCAGAUCAUCUUAAAGGACCACAGUUCUUCUAGUAGCCCAGUCUUUAGUCGACCACAGAAAUGCCAUAGUUCCUUAAGAGUAGUGGACCCUGCUAUGUCCUAUACAGGACCUUUCAAAGGGAACCUUCACUUCACAGGACAGACAGUGUUGUUUAUCUGAGAACCAUUGACAGUUCAGCUGUACCCAAGAACCAUUAUCGGUUUUUCUGAGUUCAUCUAAAAAAAAAAAGUGGAAUGGUCUUCAUUGAGCUCCAGCCACGUGAGGAAACCUUUUGCCGGCAAACAUGGUUCCUCAGAGCUCAAGCCUGUUCUUAAAGCUCGUAGCCAAAAUGAGGUCUAAUGAGGGUUCCACGGUGGUCGACUGACUCAAAUGGAGGAUG